UGAUUCUCCUGCCUCAGCCUCCCAAGUAGCUGGAAUUACAGAGCAACAUUCUCAGCAAACCAUCUGAAUGCAACUCCUGUGAUCACAAAAGUCAAUCACUGAUGGAAAUGAAGACCACGACCCUGAUUCCUCAGGCACAGGUUUUCAUCUGUCACUAUGUGCUAAAAGCAAACCAGCAAGUGAGGGUGUCACUGUCAACUGCUCCUUGUCGUGAGAUUCCCACCUUUCCCUCAAGACAUCUCAGAUAUCAUAUGUAACCUUGACCCUGUGUCCCACAGCAACAGCGGUCAUUGAGUGUAAAGCCUUUUCCUUGAGGAUUGUGGUAGACAGAAUGCCCCCCAAAGGUGACUAUGCUUGAAUCCAUGGAAACUGAACAUGUCACCUUCUAUGGCAAAAGGGACUUUGCAGACGUGAUUAAGGUUAAAGACCUUAAAUUAGAGGGAGUACCCUGGACUAUCCAGGUGUCUAAUCUAAUCCCAUGAGACUUCAAAUGCAGAGAGCUUUCUCUGGCUGGAGUCAAAGAGAUGUGACAAAAGAGGUCGUCGGAGAGAUUGGAAGUGUGAGAAAGACCCGACCUACUGUUUCUGGGGAGCCCACCUGGAAAGCACGAGAAGGGACACAGGCAACCUUUGGGAACAAAGACUGCCAGCCACAAGGAAAAGACAGCAGUCCUCUAGCCACAAGAAACCGAAUUCAGCCAGCAACCUGGACAAGCUAGAAGAGCAUUCUUCCCCAGAACCUUUAGGAGGAAGUGAGGCCUUGCAGAUACCCUGAUUUUGGCUUUUGAGACACUAAACAGAGGAUCCAACUGAGUUCAACUGGCCCAGAAACUGAGAUAUGUUUGGACUGUUUUAAGUUGCUACGUUUGUGGUAAUUUAUUUUGGUGGCAACUGAAAAUGAAUGUAAUUGUAUAUUAGAAAAAUUGAAGGUAGAAGCUCUAAUACUUUCUCCCCACACCCCAGUGGUUCAUCAUGUGCAGCACUCAGGGUGUGGAAAUUCCAUUUUGAAGACACCGUCUUCCAGGAUUCUAACCCCCACCUGGGAAAGGUCCUGGAGAGAACUUCUAGCAUGUAUUUCUGAGCCAUUCACAUUUAACCCAGAGAGAGAAGGUGUCCUGCCCAAACGCAAAGCAGCAUGGCGGUAGUUCUGGACAUAACCUUAACAAUUGCCAGGAACUCUCUGGAUGUCCAUCCAUCAGCCCUAUCUAGUCUUUUUGUCUGCAUGGCAUUGUGGGGGAUGUGGCGAUGAGGGCCAGGAUCGCAGAAGUCAGAGUACCCGUGGCUGGAGCUUCCAUUUUAAAUGAAGUGUUCUUGCUUAUGGCUUGAUGGUAUCCUUUCAGAUUUUGCAUCUGGCUGUACUCCAGAUGUUUAUAUAGAAACUUCACAGUAGACAUGAUGGUGGCGUAGGUUUGCAGGAAGGAUCCUUUCCUACUUACAGAGUGACCCAAUGUGGCCGAUCCCUUCAAUAUUUACAACAGCUGGGUGAGUGGAGGCAUGAUCAACUCCAUUUACCCGUCAAAUAAAUGAAAUUUCAGAGCGGUUACACAAUCUGCUUGAGGUAACAAGGCCAGCAAGCCACAGAGCCAACAUACCCCUGGUGCCUGGCUCCACAGGAGUCUGGGAAGAGGGAGAGGAAGAUGGGGACAGGAUGUAUCACCAGGAUGCUAGGGGAAGAGAGAAUAUUGACGUGUGGGGCAGCCUGCAUCCCCAAAUCAGGAGCACUGGGUGCUGCUGUGUUACAGUGAGUGUAGGAGCAUGCCGUUCUGGGCUUCACUCUGCCCAAAUAUGUCUUGCUCAUUUUCACCGCCAUAUGGCUGCUCGUCCCGGUCUGUUUGAGGUUCCUUCCUGUUCCCUCUCUGCCUCUAAGUCCUUCAAAAAGCCAACUGGAAGUGCCUCUUCCAGGCUUUCCUUAGCCUUUCUUUAUUCCCUUGAACUUCUAUUAUGUUAAUUGUUCAAAAGAUUAGUUCUGACACUUACCCUAUGCUGCUUUGUAUUACUAUUGGAAAACAACAGUAGCUCUCUCAACCCAUUGGGUGGAUGGUACAUGCCAUGCUUUAUACAUUCCCGUGGCCCUGCUGUACCUGGCACACACAAAAGGGGAU
rnacentral:lncRNA from 1 species